AUUGAACGCUGGCGGCAGGCCUAACACAUGCAAGUCGAACGAGUGGCGGACGGGUGAGUAAUGUCUGGGAAACUGCCUGAUGGAGGGGGAUAACUACUGGAAAAGGUAGCUAAUACCGCAUCCCAUCAGAUGUGCCCAGAUGGGAUUAGCUUGGUGCUUGGGUAACGGCGCACAAAGGCGACGAUCCCUAGCUGGUCUGAGCGGAUGACCAGCCACAGUGAAACGGCGACACGGUCCAGACUCCUACGGGAGGCAGCAGUGGGGAAUAUUGCACAAUGGGCGCAAGCCUGAUGCAGCCAUGCCGCGUGUAUGAAGAAGGCCUUCGUGUUGUAAAGUACUUUCAGCGGGGAGGCGUUACCCGCAGAAGAAGCACCGGCUAACUCCGUGCCAGCCGCCGCGGUAAUUC
rnacentral:rRNA from 1 species